GACGAACGCUGGCGGCGUGCUUAACACAUGCAAGUCGAACGGUGAUACUCCAGCUUGCUGGAGUGGAUCAGUGGCGAACGGUGAGUAACACGUGAGCAACCUGCCCCAGACUCUGGAAUAAGCGCUGGAAACGGCGUCUAAUACUGGAUACGAAACUGGCCCGCAUGGGCAUGGUUUGGAAAGUUUUUCGGUUUGGGAUGGGCUCGCGGCCUAUCAGCUUGUUGGUGAGGUAAUGGCUCACCAAGGCGACGACGGGUAGCCGGCCUGAGAGGGCGACCGGCCACACUGGGACUGAGACACGGCCCAGACUCCUACGGGAGGCAGCAGUGGGGAAUAUUGCACAAUGGGCGAAAGCCUGAUGCAGCGACGCCGCGUGAGGGAUGACGGCCUUCGGGUUGUAAACCUCUUUCAGCAGGGAAGAAGCGAAAGUGACGGUACCUGCAGAAGAAGCACCGGCUAACUACGUG
rnacentral:rRNA from 1 species